CUUCAAAAUCUUGGUGUGUCUUAUACUCCGAAAAAUACAGUAUAUAUCUUUGGGAUAAUUACAUUGAUUGAGUAAUUCAAAGAGACUUAGCAAAUGUAGCAAGUAAAAGAUACUGUUCAUUAUAUUUUUAAUUACCAUAAUUCCUGGAAUUAUGGUCAUUAAUAAUAUCCAAUAAGAUCUGGAAAAAGAUCUCCUACUCUAGCAGGGGAUUGUUCUAGAAGACCUCCAAGGUCUCUUCUAACUCUGUUAUUCUGUUUACAACUAUAGCAUGUCAGGCUUUUUGUCCAACUGGAUCAAAGUAAAAAUAGCCAUGCUCCCAGAAUGCCAAUGCUAUAUUACAAAGAUGAAAAAAUGUUUGGUGUUUUUUGGAAUGUCCAUUCAAUGAUUGCUUGAUCCUGUUGGUUGGCAUAUUUUUAAAAUUAUGAUUGAAGCAUGGCUUCUGUGUAUUGUAGAAAUUAUCUCCCUUUCACAAGAAAAAGUCCGAAGGAGUCUUGUAGCAUCUUUUCCUACUAAUGAAAUUUAUUAAAGGGCAUAAGCUUUCUGAACUGCAGCUCAUUUUCAUCAGUGGGUAGACUAGCUUAACUGAUGCAGGAUUUAAAUAGCUUGGAUGGAGCUGUGAGUGGAGGGGAAGGUAAGGUUGGUUAUGCAGACAUGUUACAUGUGAGAUAGAUUACAAAUAUCUUAUCAAUUAACAAUUGGCAUGUGUUUUAAAAAUCCCUUGUAUUUGUUGAGACCUUCAGAGAGAGACUAAAGCCUUUUGAAAUAUGCAUGUUCAAUCAUCUAGUAAUACUGUCAAAUUUUUGUUUUUCCAAAUUGAUCAUUGCAGAUGGUCGUUUGUUGGGUGAUGCUGCUGGCGUACAUUAUUAUACUAUAAUACUGCUAUCCUGUAAAAGUAAAGAUUACAUGGCACUAUUGUGAUGGUAUAUCAUAGUUCACUGGAAAAAAAAAUAUUAUAACACCAUAAUACCAUCAUGCUAUUUUUUAUUUAUUUUAUAUAUUAGUGUGUUGCCUAUAAUACUGAUCAAAAAAGGUUGGGAUUUUUUAAAUUAAUAAUAACACUAUUUUAUGCUAAGAAAUAAUAUCUUAUUAACAAUUUUCCAAUGCAUCCAUGUUAUGAGUAGUCACUAUGCAGGUUGAAAAUAAAAUGCCAUAAUUAUUUAUUUCUUUAAACUAUUUGUGAUAGAGCUGCUAAGUAUUUUUGCUAUAGCUGUACCAGGUGCCAUAUUCUGCUCUCACCAUGUUUCUGAGCACAGAUCAAGCAGAUCGCGAUUCAGCAACUGCCUACCGAAUGGUAUUUGAAGUUCUCGGAACACUGAUUGGAGCUACACUACAUGGUCAGAUAGUUGCUGGUGCUCACACUUCUAGCCACUGUUUCCAGAAUGAAACUAUUGGGCUGCAGCAAAACAGCUCUGAAGUCCUAGAUGUGUCUUAUGGA